UUUUCAGUCAAUUCUUUCAAACUAUUCUAGGGGAAAAUGAUAAUUUUGCUUCAUCUGGCCUUGCUUUCAGCAGGCCUUGGAGGUGUGCAGUCAGAGGUGCAACUGGUGGAGUCUGGUGGGGAUGUCAAAAGACCCGGGGAGUCCCUCCGCCUCUCCUGCCAGGCCUCUGGCUUCACCUUCAGCAGCUAUGGCAUGCACUGGGCCCGCCAGGCUCCUGGGAAGGGCCUGGAAUGGGUAGCCUCUAUCAGUGUACAUUCCAUUCUCACAUACUACGCGGACGCCGUGAAGGGGCGCUUCACCAUCUCCAGAGAUGACUCCAACAGCCUGCUGCAUUUGCAAAUGAGCAGCCUCAAGCCUGAGGACUCUGCAGUGUAUUAUUGUGCAAGAGGCACAGCGGGAGGAAGUGAAUGA